rnacentral:rRNA from 1 species
GACGAACGCUGGCGGCGUGCUUAACACAUGCAAGUCGAACGAUGAACCCGGAGCUUGCUCCGGCGGAUUAGUGGCGAACGGGUGAGUAACACGUGAGUAACCUGCCCUUGACUCUGGGAUAACUGCUAGAAAUGGUAGCUAAUACCGGAUACGACCCUCGGUGGCAUCACCAGGGGGUGGAAAGAAUUUCGGUCAAGGAUGGACUCGCGGCCUAUCAGCUAGUUGGUGAGGUAACGGCUCACCAAGGCGACGACGGGUAGCCGGCCUGAGAGGGUGACCGGCCACACUGGGACGGAGACACGGCCCAGACUCCUACGGGAGGCAGCAGGGGGGAAUAUUGCACAAUGGGCGCAAGCCUGAUGCAGCAACGCCGCGUGAGGGAUGACGGCCUUCGGGUUGUAAACCUCUUUUAGUAGGGAAGAAGCGAAAGUGACGGUACCUGCAGAAAAAGCACCGGCUAACUACGUGCCAGCCGCCGCGGUAA